CUGACUCACAACGAAGGAAUGAAGCAUGCCGGGCCUCAUCUCGGACCUGCACACUGCCCCUCAUUAUGUUCAUGAUCGGGAAAUGGAUAAAGAGUGGCCAGAAGGUGAAAAAGAAGAGAUGGCCCCCUGAAAGGGACAUCCACAUUUAUUUGAGCACCUACCAGGAUACCUGCUUUGGGAGCCUUCUGCUGCUGCGUGAGAUCCCUGGCUACCCUGGAGAGACAUCAGACAACAAGUGAGAUGCCCAAGAGCCCUAGCUGUCUUUGUCUUUGCAGCCCAAGCUCCAGACAUGUACUGAAGAAGCUUUAAGGAUAAAUUCAGUCCCAACUACUCCCUGGCUACAACUAUGAGACAGACCCUCCCAAGUCAGAACUGCCUAGCCAAGCUCAGGCAACUCCAAGAUUUAAGAGCAAAAUAAAAGAUAGUUAUUGCUUUAAGCUACUGUUUGGGUGGUUUGUUAUGCAGUAGUAGAUAGUCAGAACAUAACACUUACUUUACAAUAGUUGUAAAGUAAGGAAUGAGGAAUCAUUUCAAUGAGGAAUCACUGAAAAUGUAG
rnacentral:lncRNA from 10 species